CUAAUGGCAGGUCAUGGCACUUGUUCUUUGGAUAGACAUUUAACAAAUAAUUACUGGACAGUGCUACCCAUGCAGCACAAGAGAUGGGAAUGAGGUGCUGAAGUAGAUCAGAGGAAGCAGGAAUUCUUUCUUCUGAAGGCUUUAAUUUUGAAGAUUAAAUAUUGGUUCGCAGAAAGGCCUCCAAAGAGCGCCUCUCCAGGCAUAUCUCUGAGUUCUUCAGGUAACAACAAAGGUCUAAGGUUUUGCCGGUAGACAAGGAACAAAGAAAUACAAAGAGGAGUGAAGGAAAGAGGAGGAAAAACAAGGAGAGAAGGAGCAAGAAGAAUUGUUGACUUUCUCCGAUACUCAUCCAGAAAAAGCGAUUUACUAGAAGUAGCAUGGAGUUGUAAGAAAGGCUGGACUGUAUAAAUUGUUAGGCUUGGAUUCAAAUUUUGAUCCCUCUCCUCCUGGCAGUGUGCUGUUUGGAUAGUCACUGAACCUCUCUGGAUCUUUUCUGUGUCAGUGCAGUCAUGGGAGCCCCAAUCACAUAGGCUUGUUGAGAUGGUUAAAUGAGAUAAUGUGCUUAAAGUCAAGGUAAAAUGGCUGCACAGAGAUGGUGAUCAAUAAAGGUUAGUCCUUUCACUAUGCCAUACAGCGUAGCACAGGGUAUGAUGGAAUCAAGGAACAGGAAGACCCAAUCUUGUCUGUCUGGGGAGUCAAGCAGGUGUCCAAGAAGAACUAACCUGAGGCUAAGAAAUAAAGAGAAAGAAGAAAUCAUUUGGGCAAAAUGGGGAGAAAACUUUGGGGGGAGAGGGAAAAGGGGAUGGUGAGCUUGCAGGGCUAUAAGGACUGCGGACUAGCUGGAGCAUGGAAUUCAGGUGACUCCAGCCUUUUACAUCUAGAGAAAGUAAGGGGGUCAAACCACUCAAUCCUUUCUCUUCACUUGAUUCUUUUUUCCUCUAUUGACCAAGUAACUUUAAAUUAAAAAAAAAAAACAAAACCAGUACCAAGAAAACAGUCUUUCUCUUCUGAGUGGAGGAAUCUUAAUCCCAGGUCACGUUUACUAAUUCCUACCUAGUCAGAAAAGAUGUAGAAGUUGUUAAAUGAGCCAAUUCUAGAAAAUAUAUCAUUCUACACUCUGUCCCCAGACAAAGGAAACACUGGUAGUGUCAACACGUUUAAACUAUGUGGGUGAGAGUUGAGUGAUUUCCUGGCUCAGAGCAAACAAAGACCACCUUUCUGCACUUUAAACUCUCAUCAUUUUUAACUCACUCGCUGCAACUCAUCCUGUAUGUGGCAAAGGAGAAAGACCAGCCUGCAUUUUUCUACAGCUACUGUGAACCUUCCACGGGGAUAGCUGGAGGGAGGUAGCAUGGGAGAGAUGAGGCGAAAAAUUCCCUUUCAAAGGAAUGUGGUGAAGAUAACAGGUCAAUUUUACACCAUCAGCGUAUGGAAUCCUUUACGUCAGGAGUUGGCAAACAUUUCUGUAAAGGGCCGGAGAGUAAAUAUUUUCAGCUUUUUGGGACACACAUAUGGUCUCUGCAGCAGCUACACAGUUCUGCCAUUAUACCAUGAAAGCAGCCAUAGAUGAUAGGUAAGCAAAUGAACAUCACUGUGUCUCAAUAAAACUUUAUUUAUAAAAACCCUGGGCCACGUUCGGCCCAUAAUCUGUAGUUUGCCAAUCUCUGCUAAAAUAAGGUGAUUAUUAUAUUAACUACAUUUUGCGUGAGGUAUAAAAAAAUUCCACACCCCAGCAGCCCAUAGAGGCCGUUUCUGUUGCUCUUGGGUAAUGUGUUGCUCACUUGGACUUCGCAAAGACCCUCAGGAAGGAGGGGAAGCAUUCUGCAUUAAGGGAAACCAAUCCACAGAGAGGGUUUUUUACAAAUAUAAUAACAUUUGUAAAAUACAGCAUCAGGUAGAACUACUUCUCAUGGACAAAUGACGGAAAUUGUCAGUUAAGCUUUAUUUAGCCCAAAUUUCGGUCUGAUGAAUCCCCCACUGACACCCACAUUGGCCCUGAGACCAUAUGUCACUUAUCCAAUAACUUUGAAGGAACCAUUGUGUCUUUUCAUGUAAAUCUUGCUAAGCUCAUGGAUCACUGACCUGCUUUAGGUGAUGGGUGGCAUAUCAAUUCAUCCCUGAACACACACAACAAACUCAUCCACCUUAUCUCCUUCUGAGAUUUUAUUUAUAAAGUGACUCGUGAGCUCACACUCACCAAUUUCCAACCAAGGUUGCCUGACAAUUUUUUUUCCCUGUCAAGAUGCCAAAAGCAUUUAGAGUGCUUUACCAACGUCCCACUUGCCAAAUUUCCAUUUUAACAUCAAAGCCGUUGGAACCCCGAGACAAAGCACAAAGCCCUCUCAGCCAGUCAACUCCUAUUGUUCUGUUUUGCACGGGUUAAAAAAUAAAUAAAUGAAUGGCGAAACAGAUUGUUUUUGAAACUGAUAACACAAUUUGUUCUCCGGCUUCAUAUGUUAGAUUUCCGCCUGCAGCAAAUAUUUACAGCCGAGUUU